rnacentral:rRNA from 1 species
ACAAGCGGAGGAGCAUGUGGUUUAAUUCGAUGAUACGCGAGGAACCUUACCUGGGCUCGAACGUAAGAUGACUGUAGGUGAAAGCUUACAUCUCUUCGGAGCAUUUUACGAGGUGCUGCAUGGUUGUCGUCAGCUCGUGCCGUGAGGUGUCGGGUUAAGUCCCAUAACGAGCGCGACCCUACCUUUAGUUGCCAUCAGGUAAUGCUGGGGACUCUAAAGGAACUGCCUACGCAAGUAGUGAGGAAGGCGGGGAUGACGUCAAAUCAGCACGGCCCUUACGUCCAGGGCUACACACGUGCUACAAUGGCCGAUACAGAGGGCAGCUACCUGGUGACAGGAUGCAAAUCUCCAAAGUCGGUCUCAGUUCGGAUCGGAGUCUGCAACCCGACUCCGUGAAGUUGGAUUCGCUAGUAAUCGCGCAUCAGCCAUGGCGCGGUGAAUACGUUCCCGGGCCUU